rnacentral:rRNA from 1 species
UACGUAGGGUGCGAGCGUUAUCCGGAUUUACUGGGCGUAAAGAGUUGCGUAGGCGGCUUGUUUAGUCAAAGCUUAAAUCUUCUCGCUUAACGAGAAACCGGGUUUUGAAACUGGCAGGCUUGAGAUUCACAGAGGUAACUGGAACUUGCAGUGGAGCGGUGAAAUGCGUUGAGAUUGCAAGGAACACCAAAGGCGUAGGCAGGUUACUGGGUGAAUACUGACGCUGAUGCACGAAAGCUAGGGGAGCGAAAGGG